rnacentral:rRNA from 1 species
GAUGAACGCUGGCGGCGUGCCUAAUACAUGCAAGUCGAGCGAACGGACGAGAAGCUUGCUUCUCUGAUGUUAGCGGCGGACGGGUGAGUAACACGUGGAUAACCUACCUAUAAGACUGGGAUAACUUCGGGAAACCGGAGCUAAUACCGGAUAAUAUUUUGAACCGCAUGGUUCAAAAGUGAAAGACGGUCUUGCUGUCACUUAUAGAUGGAUCCGCGCUGCAUUAGCUAGUUGGUAAGGUAACGGCUUACCAAGGCAACGAUGCAUAGCCGACCUGGGAGGGUGAUCGGCCACACUGGAACUGAGACACGGUCCAGACUCCUACGGGAGGCAGCAGUAAGGAAUCUUCCGCAAUGGGCGAAAGCCUGACGGAGCAACGCCGCGUGAGUGAUGAAGGUCUUCGGAUCGUAAAACUCUGUUAUUAGGGAAGAACAUAUGUGUAAGUAACUGUGCACAUCUUGACGGUACCUAAUCAGAAAGCCACGGCUAACUACGUG